CUAAACUGCUCAGUAACUUGAAGGCUCUUCGAUUUGCAUAUAUCUUUCAACAAUGUGAACCUUGCUUUGCUGAAUUUAACAGGAAUAAUGAAUAUUGAAUGAUCAUGAUUUAAUAUACUACCAACUUCUAGUUUGGGUCGUUUGCCAUAGUGCACUUUUUCCACAUUAGCCAUAAUCCAUAAAUAUUUACAGUUUUACACUUCGGAACACAAAUCACAACUGAAUGACAGAAUGAGC